rnacentral:rRNA from 1 species
UACGGAGGGUGCAAGCGUUAUCCGGAUUCACUGGGUUUAAAGGGUGCGUAGGCGGGCAGAUAAGUCAGUGGUGAAAUACCUGAGCUUAACUUGGGAACUGGCCAUUGAUACUAUUUGUCUUGAAUGUCGUGGAGGUUAGCGGAAUAUGUCAUGUAGCGGUGAAAUGACUUAGUAGAUGACAUAGAACACCUAAUUGCGAAGGCAGCUAACUACGCGAAAUAUUGACGCUGAGGCACGAAAGCGUGGGGAUCAAACAGG